rnacentral:tRNA from 23 species
AGGAGUGUAGCUCAAUUGGUAGAGCACCGGUCUCCAAAACCGGGGGUUGGGAGUUCGAGCCUCUCCACUCCUGCCA